rnacentral:rRNA from 1 species
AUUGAACGCUGGCGGCAUGCCUUACACAUGCAAGUCGAACGGCAGCACGGGUGCUUGCCCCUGGUGGCGAGUGGCGAACGGGUGAGUAAUACAUCGGAACAUGUCCUGUAGUGGGGGAUAGCCCGGCGAAAGCCGGAUUAAUACCGCAUACGAUCUACGGAUGAAAGCGGGGGACCUUCGGGCCUCGCGCUAUAGGGUUGGCCGAUGGCUGAUUAGCUAGUUGGGGGGGUAAAGGCCUACCAAGGCGACGAUCAGUAGCUGGUCCGGGGGGAAGGCCAGCCACACCUGGGCCUAGGACACGCCCCGACCUCUACGGGGGGCCGCAGUUGGGAAUUUUUGACAAUGGGGGGAAAGCUUAUUCCGGCAAGGCGGCGUGUGUGAGAAGGGCCUCCGGUUGGUAAGGCCCUUUUGUCCGAAAGAAAUUCCUUGGCCUUAUUCGGGUCGGGGAUGACGGUACCGGAAGAAUAAGCACCGGCUAACUACGUG